rnacentral:lncRNA from 1 species
CUGUUUUUGGAGAUGACUGAACAGAUGAAGGCAUCAGAUGCCUUCAUCAGCUGGUAUUUUGCCUAAGAUCUAUUUAAGAUAACCUUUUCUUAUAUUUUUUACUUAAUAUUGGGCAUAAUCGUAUCAUUCAAGAUUAAGUCUGGGUUAUUUCUUUGAUAAGAACUGAAUGUGGCCGGGCGCAGUGGCUCACGCCUGUAAUCCCAGCACUUUGGGAGGCUGAGGCAGGAGAAUGGCGUGAACCCGGGAGGUGGAGGUUGCAGUGAGCCGAGAUUGCGCCACUGCACUCCAGCCUGGGCGACAGAGCGAGACUGUCUCAAAAAAAAAAAGAACG